UAGAGUUUGAUCCUGGCUCAGAUUGAACGCUGGCGGCAUGCCUAACACAUGCAAGUCGAACGGUAACAGGAGAGAGCUUGCUCUCUUGCUGACGAGUGGCGGACGGGUGAGUAAUGCAUAGGAAUCUGCCCAGUAGUGGGGGACAACUCGGGGAAACUCGAGCUAAUACCGCAUACGCCCUACGGGGGAAAGCGGGGGAUCUUCGGACCUCGCGCUAUUGGAUGAGCCUAUGUCAGAUUAGCUUGUUGGUGGGGUAACGGCCUACCAAGGCGACGAUCUGUAGCUGGUCUGAGAGGACGAUCAGCCACACUGGGACUGAGACACGGUCCAGACUCCUACGGGAGGCAGCAGUGGGGAAUAUUGCACAAUGGAGGAAACUCUGAUGCAGCAACGCCGCGUGGAGGAUGACGCAUUUCGGUGUGUAAACUCCUUUUAUAUGGGAAGAUAAUGACGGUACCAUAUGAAUAAGCACCGGCUAACUCCGUGCCAGCAGCCGCGGUAAUACGGAGGGUGCAAGCGUUACUCGGAAUCACUGGGCGUAAAGCGCGCGCAGGCGGUCUUUUAAGUUGGAUGUGAAAGCCUAUGGCUCAACCAUAGAACUGCAUCCAAAACUAUUAGACUAGAGUCUGGGAGGGGAAGAUGGAAUUAGUUGUGUAGGGGUAAAAUCCGUAGAGAUAACUAGGAAUACCAAAAGCGAAGGCGAUCUUCUGGAACAGUACUGACGCUGAGGCGCGAAAGCGUGGGGAGCAAACAGGAUUAGAUACCCUGGUAGUCCACGCCCUAAACGAUGAAUGUUAGUCGUUGGGGGGCUUGUCCCCUCAGUGAUGCAGCUAACGCAUUAAACAUUCCGCCUGGGGAGUACGGUCGCAAGAUUAAAACUCAAAGGAAUAGACGGGGACCCGCACAAGUGGUGGAGCAUGUGGUUUAAUUCGAAGAUACGCGAAGAACCUUACCUGGCCUUGACAUUGAUGGAACCUGCUAGAGAUAGCGGGGUGCCCUUCGGGGAGCCUGAAAACAGGUGCUGCACGGCUGUCGUCAGCUCGUGUCGUGAGAUGUUGGGUUAAGUCCCGUAACGAGCGCAACCCCUAUCCCUAUUUGCCAGCACGUAAAGGUGGGAACUUUAGGGAGACUGCCGGUGACAAACCGGAGGAAGGUGGGGAUGACGUCAAGUCAUCAUGGCCCUUAUGGGCAGGGCUACACACGUGCUACAAUGGUCGGUACAGAGGGUCGCGAAGCUGUGAGGUGGAGCUAAUCUCAGAAAACCGGUCGUAGUCCGGAUCGGAGUCUGCAACUCGACUCCGUGAAGUCGGAAUCGCUAGUAAUCGCGGAUCAGAAUGCCGCGGUGAAUACGUUCCCGGGCCUUGUACACACCGCCCGUCACACCAUGGGAGUUGGCUGCACCAGAAGUAGAUUGCCCGACCUUCGGGGGGGCGUUUACCACGGUGUGGUUAAUGACUGGGGUGAAGUCGUAACAAGGUAACCA
rnacentral:rRNA from 1 species